UGACGACCACAUCACGUUGAAACAUCGGUUCUUUUCCGAUCACCAAAAUUAAGCAAUGUCGAGCCUGGUCAGUACCUAGAUGAGUGACCGCUUAAGAAUACCAUAUGUUGUAAG